rnacentral:ncRNA from 1 species
GGGGCGGGCGCACUACCGGCCGAUCUUCUCCGCCCUGUCGGCGAGGUCGAGCGAGAGCGUGCAAGUCGGGACCCGAAAAGAGGUGAACUAUGCCUGAGGAGGUUGAAGCCAGAGGAAACUCUGGUGGAGGACCGUAGCGAUUCUGACGUGCAAAUCGAUCGUCAAAUUUGGGUAUAGGGGCGAAAGACUAAUCGAACCGUGUAGUAGCUGGUUCCCUUCGAAGUUUCCCUCAGGAUAGCUGGCGCUCUGUCGCAGUUUUAUCUGGUAAAGCGAAUGAUUAGAGGUCUUGGGGGCGAAACGCCCUCAACCUAUUCUCAAACUUUAAAUUGGUAAGAAGCCCGACUCGCUCGUUUGGAGCCGGGCAUGGAAUGCGAGUGCCAAGUGGGCCACUCUUGGUAAGCAGGACUGGCGAUGCGGGAUGAACCGAACGCCGGGUUAAGGCGCCCGACGCGACGCUCAUCAGAGCCCACAAAAGGUGUUGGUUGAUAUAGACAGCAGGACGGUGGCCAUGGAAGUCGGAAACCGCUAAGGAGUGUGUAACAACUCACCUGCCGAAUCAAUCAGCCCUGAAAAUGGAUGGCGCUGGAGCGUCGGGCCUAUACCCGGCCGUCGCGGCGGUACGAGCAUCGAGUUGGUGCGCUAGGCCGCGACGAGUAGGAGGGCCGCGGCGGCGGGCGUAGAAGCCUAGGGCGCGAGCCCGGGUGGAGCAG